AUGUCUCACAAAACUCCAGAUCCUCUCUCUCUCUCUCGCUCUACGACUCAAGAACAUCAUGCCAGAUCUCUCAUCAGAUGCCGUUUCAUGACAAGAUCGUUGAAGUGGUUCCGACACCUGAGCUCUGGUGGAGGAGACUAGGGUUUCGGCGAAGAUAAAGCCAUCGGAGGCUGAACCACCGGUGCAGGGUUUCUUUACCAGUCGCUUCAAGAUAUACGCUUCCUCAGCGAUGAAUCUCUCUAGAUCCAACACGAGAUCGACUGGUUUGACCGCUCGAUCUGUCGUUGAGUUGUUCGUGUUAGGGUGCACCGGAAUAACCAGAUGUGUAUCAUCUGGAAUGAACAAGCUGGAUAACCAGUCGAUCUCUACAAAAUUUCAGUAAGAAAAUCGCGGGGUCCACCAAGGAGACUAUGAAACUACGCUCACUGACUCUAUAUCGCGAGGACCCCGAAGCAAACGGUGUGUCUAGCUGAUAUUUAACAGUGUGGUAAAGUGGGAUAGCACGAAAAUAAAAAAAAGGUAUUUGUUGCAUCCAACAUUUGCACACGGAAGUACUCUGGUCUUAUACGAGGUCCUGACCGGAAAGCGUUACAUUUGUGACAUUAUUACUGAUUCUGUGGUUCUUGGUUUCUUCAUUGAAGCCGAAAAGAUACUCUCAGUGCUCGGAAUCGAUGAUGCAGUUGAUGACUUUUUGUGGCAGGAAAUCUCAAUCAUACUCUCGAAACUCUUGGUCCCGCAGUCCCGCAAAUCUUUGAGAAAACGGCGAUGCAUGACCUACGGACUCUUGUGGCAGAAAGAUCAACUAUGAACACAUAUAUAAGCGGAGAGAGUUUUGAGAUAUGAUCGGUCUGUUAUUAGAAGGAUUCAUUAAAACGCAGGGUACGUUAGAACUUAUUACUGCACCAGCUGCACUAUUCCCGUCAUACGGCAACCGCAGUUUCCGAGUGUCAGAAAUAGUAGCAGCCGGAAGCUUUUGUCACCAUGCAACCUCGUACGUAGUUGAGACAAGGUCAUGGGUGAUGAUGUUUGAGAUUAGUGGAUUUGAAGGAACAGGAACCCUUCAGAGCAGGGUGUCUUCGUUAAUAUCACAUGGCGGGGCGGGGGAAAACCCGUCCUCGGCCCGGGAACAUAGCGGUCUAAUGAGUUGGCAACAGGGCUCUUUUAAGAGAGAGUUUCUCUCAUCUCCAUACCGAUGUUCAAGGAAUUGAAACAAAGACAUUAUCAAUUAUGGUUUUUCAAUUUGUUUUUUGCAAGAAAUAUUAAAACCGUUCUGAUUCCUUGAAUGCAGAGUUGCACUUAGGGUUUUUCAAUGCUUUUGUCUUGCAGAUUUAGAUUUCAUCUCAUCAGAUGUGGGUUCCUCUGAUGUUAUCCUUUUUUUUGUGGGAGAAAGAGGGAGCUGGAGAGAAGAAUGGGCAGAGGAGUGAGAGAAUGGAAGAUGGGAGCCGGCCAAGAUGCCGAUGGUGGAUGGUAUUAGUGUCGGAAGAUGGAUGGGUCGGUAACCAUCGUAAACCCCGACGGCGGCGCUAGAGGUUCGCGAUAACCACAGACUUCCGGCGAACACAAUGGUGAAGACAGAGAGACGCUAACUUUUUAGAUCCUUCGGCGGCUGCAGGUAAGUCUCGCGGUGACUACACCAACGAACGAAGGUACCGGAUCUUGUGGAUCUGGUGUUGACGGCGUCUCGGGUUCCGCAAUAGGCGGCAGAGACAGCUGCUAUGUGGUUGUACUGACCUUACUAGAAAAGAACCGUCAUGGUACUUGUGACGGUGGCAUAUGAACGGGGAUGGAUUCAGGUCAGUAACAUUUGUAUCCAUUAUUGCUUUAUUUAUCUGUUUUUUUUUUUUUUGGAAUUUAUUGUGUCUAAAUUACAAAAAUGAGUUCAGUUUGAGUUUUUUGGGAAGAAACAUGGGUAAUGUUGUUAUGUAUUAUCAGUUGUUUUAUAUCAGGGAAUUUGUUGGCAGAUUGCAAACUCAUAAAUCUUCCCUCUAAGCCUCUCUCUCCAGGUCAAGCUGGUACUAAAGGUAGUUCAAGUCAUCGAUUGUCAAGGACGAGUAGUUGCCUUGAAUGCUGGCAGCAAGUUAUGUGCUUCAGCAUUUUUCUUACCUGUAGAGCGACUAAAUAUAAUAGAUAUGUUAUCCAUAUAUCCCGCUUAGCAUCGUCAAACUGUCUUCUGUCUUCUGUAAUGUAUUGAAGACGCAACAUGUCAAGUUUACUAAAAAUCAUUUUUGUUGACCUUACAUGUGGCUGUGCUUUGAAUUUCUUGCGGAAGGGAGGAGAUCUUUUCAAGAUAAAUGGGAGGCUCCUACAAUCCUCCACGUCUAGCUGAGCCAGUGCCUGAACCGGCUAAAGCGGAGGGGUGCGCUUCUGAACCAGCAACAGAAAACAGUCAGGUUAAAACAACAUAACUGAUUACCUGUUCACACCUGGAGGAUUUUCAUGCCUUUAUAUGGCUCAACCUUUAAAAAAAUUUCCCAUGAGGCGCCUUCUUUUCAUCCAUAAGUGGUUUGCCGGCCUGCGUUUCUUCCGCGCAACAACACAUGCUUGACAUAAUUUUUUGUUUCUGUUUUUUCCUUUUUUUUUCUUUUUUUUGUUGGGCUUAAAUUCUAUUUGGUGCUUGACAUAUUUAGUUUUAUACAUUGUUUAUAUAUAAUUUUGAGAUGGUAUUAAACUUGUAAUGGAUAUGGAAACAACGAUGAAUCUUGUUCAUAUUGGUUUGGGCAUGUGACUGACCUGAGUAUGAAUCUCACAACUGAUCUUUUUUAGCAAAUAUUCAGUGAAGUUAGACCGAGAGAGGGAAGCACUUAAAGCC
rnacentral:lncRNA from 1 species